UACGUAGGGUGCGAGCGUUAAUCGGAAUUACUGGGCGUAAAGCGUGCGCAGGCGGUUCGUUAAGUUCGUCGUGAAAGCCCCGGGCUCAACCUGGGAACGGCGAUGGAAUCUGGCGGGCUAGAGUGCGGCAGAGGGGGGUGGAAUUCCACGUGUAGCAGUGAAAUGCGUAGAGAUGUGGAGGAACACCGAUGGCGAAGGCAACACCCUGGGCUAGCACUGACGCUCAGGCACGAAAGCGUGGGGAGCAAACGGG
rnacentral:rRNA from 1 species